rnacentral:rRNA from 1 species
UGAGGAAUAUUGCACAAUGGGCGCAAGCCUGAUGCAGCGACGCCGCGUGGGUGAAGACGGUUUUCGGACUGUAAAGCCCUUUUCUGCGUGACGAGAGUGGACGGUAGCGCAGGAAGAAGUCUCGGCUAACUACGUGCCAGCAGCCGCGGUAAAACGUAGGAGGCGAGCGUUAUCCGGAGUUACUGGGCGUAAAGCGCGUGCAGGCGGAAGAGCAAGUUACUUAUGAAAGCUCUUGGCUAAACUGGGUGAGGUUGAGUGAAACUGCUUUUCUAGAGUGGAUGAGAGGGAAGUAGAAUUCCUUGUGUAGUGGUGAAAUGCGUAGAUAUGAGGAAGAAUACCGGUGGCGAAGGCGACUUACUGGCAUCCAACUGACGCUCAGACGCGAAAGCAUGGGUAGCGAACGGGAUUAGAUACCCGUGUAGUCC